ACUGGAGGACCAAGAAGGCCAAGUCUGAUGAAGCAAGACUUUGCUGAUCCACUCCUCCUAGACAAAGGAGUGGAGAGAGCAGCCCUCACCAGAGAAGACCACAAGGAUGACUGAACUCUACCCAACAUGU
ensembl:scaRNA